GUUUAUUUAUAAUUACAGAUCAACCAUCACAAAUUACAGAUUCAUAGAAAAAUAUAUAGAGUACAUAGACCCUUCGGCCAAGUUCAGAAGGAGAUGCUCCCUAAACGGAGCUUGCAGGGCAAUAAUGACAAGCACACUAGUAUUUUACAUACGAUAUUAAGCAGGACAAAAACACUACAUUAACACUUUAAAAAAUGUACAAUUACAUCCUAAAUUUUAGUUAAGCGGACAAAGGCACCCAAAGUAUGUUGUUUGCUGGGAAGAAAUGGCAAACUGGCGAAGUUCCAGGUUCCAUUUUCAGCAGACGAAACGAUACAUGGUCCCUGUCCCAUUGAGAUGUGUCCGUAUGGCAAAUUCCUGGAGCUUGCACUCUUUCUCCAUCCUCACCACCCAGUAACAUCUCAAACAGCCUGUCCCCACCUUCUGCUUUAUGGCAAUAGUAGACCACGUAAGGGUAAGGCAUUACAUGACAUCCUACAAUUUUUUCUGCAAGAAUCUCUUUUGGGUCUUCCAAAACAGUGUAAUUUUGUAAUUGUGUAACUGGGUAUGUGAGAUAAUUAGUAGUUAAAACUUUGAAUUGGGUAUCCAAUCCAAAGGUGGCACGUACAAAAUCAAGCAUUGAUUCUAAAGAAGUAGCACAUAUCUUGGUCUCUUCUUCUGUGGGUUCAACAUCACAUUGCCUUAGAGUAUAUUCCAUGGCUUUGGCUUGAGGAGAGUCUUUGGAGAGAGAGAAAAGUUCAAGAAGGUAAGGGAGUUGUGAUAAAGAGAAAGGAAUGGAAUUGGUUUCUUCUCUAGAUAACAAAUGGGGAGAAUCAGAAGGGUCUUUGUUAGGGAAGUAGAUUGGAAUCUUUUUUCCAGCUUUUAGAUCAUCUAAGGUGAAGAAAACAUGGACUGAAGGGUCCAUGUGAUGCAUUUGAUGAUCAACAAGGCCAUUCUUGAUGAGUAGUUGGCUAUCAUCACCAGCAGAGUCUUUCAAUUGUGAGUCACUUAUCAUCCUGGAACUACUGCUUCUGACAAACUGUAGAAUAGAACAUUGGAAAAAUUAAUUGCACAAAGAAAUUGAUACAAGAAAAACAGCAGAAAGAAGCAUAUAUACAUAUGCGAAGCAGGAUAAUUUUCCUUCCUGGAAAAUUAAAUAAUUAAUCUAAGGCAAGCACUGAACUCAUUUUUUCAUGGAGAAGAGACAGAAAUUAAUUACCAAUAAAACAAGUAGAACAGAAAGGAUAAUUCUCCAGGAAGGAAAAUGAAUACCCAUCUCUGCUUGGGACUUUCUUUGCUUUUUUCCUGUACUUCUGAAAAUAGGAACAAUCAAUUAACUAUAAAAUGAACUAAUUAACAAGUUCUUUUUGUUUUUGUUUUAUUUUAUAGAAUUAAAUGUGUAAAUAUAGCUAGCUGAGCUGAGAUAUAUAUCAUCAAACUGAAUAGUGG
rnacentral:misc_RNA from 1 species